rnacentral:rRNA from 1 species
GUAGGUGGCAAGCGUUGUCCGGAAUUAUUGGGCGUAAAGCGCGCGCAGGCGGUCCUUUAAGUCUGAUGUGAAAGCCCACGGCUCAACCGUGGAGGGUCAUUGGAAACUGGGGGACUUGAGUACAGAAGAGGAAAGCGGAAUUCCAAGUGUAGCGGUGAAAUGCGUAGAGAUUUGGAGGAACACCAGUGGCGAAGGCGGCUUUCCGGUCUGUAACUGACGCUGAGGCGCGAAAGCGUGGGGAGCAAGCAGGAUUAGAUACCCUGGUAGUCCACGCCGUAAACGAUGAGUGCUAAGUGUUAGGGGGUUUCCCGCCCCCUUAGUGCUGCAGCUAACGCAUUAAGCACUCCGCCUGGGGAGUACGGCCGCAAGGCUG